rnacentral:rRNA from 1 species
UUUAGCCAAACAAGUAUUAAAGGUCCCGCCUGCCCAGUGAUAAUUAAACGGCCGCGGUAUUCUAACCGUGCAAAGGUAGCGUAAUCACUUGUCCCCUAAAUAGGGACUAGUAUGAACGGCUAAAUGAGGACAAACCUGUCUCUUACAACUAAUCAGUGAAACUGAUCCCCCAGUACAAAAGCUGGGAUAUUAACAUAAGACGAGAAGACCCUGUGGAGCUUCAAACCCACCAUCAACAAGUCACACACGACUACACUGCAACAGUGGUUUUAAGUUGGGGCGACUUCGGAAAAAAACAAAACUUCCGAGCACAGAACCACAAGUUCUAUCACGGCCAACACGCCAAAAUUAGACAAACAGACCCAGUAAUACUGACCAACGAACCAAGUUACCCCAGGGAUAACAGCGCCAUCUUCUUCAAGAGUCCCUAUCGACAAGAAGGUUUACGACCUCGAUGUUGGAUCAGGACACCCAAAUGGUGCAGCCGCUAUUAAAGGUUCGUUUGUUCAACGAUUAAUAGUCCUACGUGAUCUGAGUUCAGACCGGAGCAAU